GAUGAACGCUGGCGGCGUGCUUAACACAUGCAAGUCGAACGAUGAAGCUCAGCUUGCUGGGUGGAUUAGUGGCGAACGGGUGAGUAACACGUGAGUAACCUGCCCUUAACUCUGGGAUAAGCCUGGGAAACUAGGUCUAAUACCGGAUAGGAGCGCCUACCGCAUGGUGGGUGUUGGAAAGAUUUAUCGGUUUUGGAUGGACUCGCGGCCUAUCAGCUUGUUGGUGAGGUAAUGGCUCACCAAGGUGACGACGGGUAGCCGGCCUGAGAGGGUGACCGGCCACACUGGGACUGAGACACGGCCCAGACUCCUACGGGAGGCAGCAGUGGGGAAUAUUGCACAAUGGGCGAAAGCCUGAUGCAGCGACGCCGCGUGAGGGAUGACGGCCUUCGGGUUGUAAACCUCCUUCAGUAGGGAAGAAGCGAAAGUGACGGUACCUGCAGAAGAAGCACCGGCUAACUACGUG
rnacentral:rRNA from 1 species